UACGUAGGUGGCAAGCGUUGUCCGGAAUUAUUGGGCGUAAAGCGCGCGCAGGCGGCUAUGUAAGUCUGAUGUUAAAGCCCGAGGCUCAACCUCGGUUCGCAUUGGAAACUGUGUAGCUUGAGUGCAGAAGAGGAAAGCGGUAUUCCACGUGUAGCGGUGAAAUGCGUAGAGAUGUGUAGGAACACCAGUGGCGAAGGCGGCUUUCUGGUCUGUAACUGACGCUGAGGCGCGAAAGCGUGGGGAGCAAACAGG
rnacentral:rRNA from 1 species